rnacentral:sRNA from 1 species
UUUUUAUUAAUAUUCCUUAAGUGUUGUUUUAUCAGGUAAUUUCUCUUUGCCAGUUGAUACAAUACAAAUGGAAUAUAAUGCAUCUAACAUUUCAAAUUCAAGACAUGAUUCUGAUGAAGUCAGUGGUAAAAUGAAUACAUACAUGAAUUCUACGACUUCUCCUAAGAAGGAUACUGGUGUGCAAACAGGUAUUUGUGUGGAAAUUGUGGUUUGAUUUAAAAUUUACUUAAAGUCAUAAUUAAAGCAAUUAGAAUUAAGUUCAAUUUAAAAGUUCAAAAAUUAACGAAACUUGAGGUUUUCAGUAAGAGUUACAAAAUAAAGGGAUAACAGCUUUGUUGAAACAUGUCAUGUACCACAAAAUUUAUCCUACAGUUUAGUCUUUUUUGGUAUUCAGUGGUGCAACCAUUACCACAAUCAAUUCUAAUUUUGAUCACUCUAGAAAGAAACACUGUACCCAUUACUUGCCACUUUCUAUUUCUCUUUUCUCCUCCAGUUAACAUUCUGUCUCUGAAUAUUUUUGCCUGUUGUGGACAUUUCAUGUAACUGGAAUUAGACCACAUAACCGUCUUCUCUGGCUUCUUUCUCUCUUAGCAUGUUUUAAGGUUCAUCCAUGUUGUAGCAUGUGUCAGUACUUCAUUCCUGUUUGUCACUGAAUAAAUAUUACAUUUAUAAUACCACAUUUUUAUUCAUGAGUUGAUGAACAUUUGGGUUAUUUCCACUUUUUGGCUAUGAAUAUGCUGCUGUGAACAUUCAUAUAUAGAUUUUUGUGGAUGUACAUUUUUAGUUCUUUUGAGAGAAGAGUAGAAUUGCUGAGUCAUGAGUAACAGGUACUGUAUGUUUAGCAUUUUGAGGAACCACCAAACUCUUCUCCAAAGCAGUGGUACCAUUUUACAUUCCCACCAUCAGUGCAUGUGGGUUCUGAUUCUCUAUAUCCUUGCCAGCCCUUGUUAUUCUACUGGUUGUGAAGUGGUAUCUCAGGUGGUUUUGGUUUGCAUUUCCCCCAGUGACUGAUGAUGUUGAGCAUCUUUUCAUGAUUAUCAGUUCAUAGAAAUGGAAAUUAGAGUGGUGGCUGCCAGUGGUUGGGAGUAUGUGGUUGUUCUUUAAUGAGUAUAGAGGUUCGGUUUUGUUGAAAAUUAAUGAAAGAAAAAAGUCUUAGAGGGCAAUAAUUGUUUAAUGUUUUGGGGAAAAUUAUUUAAUAUUGAAAAGUUUACAAUUUUUAAAAAUCAUUUGAAACUUUUUUUUAGAUGACUUAAAUAUAGGAAUAUUCACCAAUGCAGAAUCACAUUGUGGAUCAUUAAUGGAGAGGGACAUCACAAAUUGUUCAUCUCCUGAGAUUUCGGCAGAACUUAUUGGACAGUUUAGCACCAAGAAAAACAAGCAAGAACUAACUCAGGAUAAAGGAGCCAGCUUAGAAAAAGAAAACAAUCGGUGUAAUGACCAGUGUAAUCAGUUCACAAGAAUAGAGAAACAAACAAAACACAUGAAGAAAUAUCCUAAAAGGCCUGAUUGGAAUAUAAAUAAGCCACCUAAAAGGUAUAUUCCAGCAUCAGAAAAGUACCCUAAACAGCUUCAAAAGCAGAGAGAAGAAAAAAAAGUAAGGAGGCAGAUGGAAUUGCUUCAUUUGGUAGAAAAAAAUAAUCCUGGGCACCUCUCUCAAAACAGAGGCAUUUCACCAGAAAUUUUUCAUUCAUCUCAUCAAGAAACGGAGUCAAAGUUGAGGUGGCAUCUAGUCAAAAAGGGAGAAGAGCCUCUGAAUAUUCAUUCAUUCAGCAAGGAAAGGUCUCCAUCAUCACCAGUUCCAGUAGUGAAAAACAGAACCCAACAAACUCAAAAUACAUUACAUUUACCACUAAAAAACAGUAGCUAUGAGAGAGAGAAUUUGAUCUCAGGAAGUAAUCAAACAGAAUUAUCAUCUGGGAUUUCUGAAUCAUCCCAUUUUAUUCCGUAUGUUCGAACAAAUGAGAUCUAUUACCUUGAUCCCGAUGCACCAUUGUCUGGGCCUUCAACCCAGGACGCUCAGUACCAAAAUUCACAAGACUGUGGCCAAAAACGACAGCUAUUUGAUUCUGACUGUGUCAGGGAUCCACUUCUUAAUCCUAACAUGGUGAAAAAUAGGGAUCGACAGCAAGCAAUCCUUAACGGACUUUCAGAACUGAGACAGGGCCUUCUCCAGAAGCAAAAGGAGUUGGAAAGUAGUCUCCUGCCUUUAGCUGAAAAUCAAGAAGAGAAUUUUGGUUCUUCAUUUUAAAUGUAGAAAAUCAAAUCCUUCACAUUUGAUUUGUGUCUUCCAAAUUAUAAAAUGUGCUCACUGGCUCAACUGUAUUUUUCAAAUAGCCUAGAUUUACUUAUUUUUUUAAAUGCUCAUUAAAAACUUGUAUACUAUGUAGUAAAAUGCUGUACUUGUUCUAUACAAUAAAACAGAUACUUCUUUUGUAAAAGCUUAGUAGU